UCAUGCUAGCGAGACUUUACUGUUCUUGCCUCUGACACUACCAGGAGACACACUCUCUCAGGCAUCUUCUGUGGCCCUUAUGAUCCUUCCGAUGCCAUCUUCUACAGUCUUCCCUGAACCCGAGGUGUGAAAGUGUUUUGUAAAUGUAGCUAUUGGGACUGGGCUUAAGAGUACCACACCCUCUUUAGAGUUGUUGGUCAGGGAUGUCCACUAUUGUCCUUGGUUGCCCACACGCAGGAGGAAGUUAUGUCCCUAUUGCUGGAGACACCGUGUACCUCAGAAACAGAUGCUUCAGGCCGCUGAGCUGGAUUUGACCUCAAAGCCUCCUUCUUAAGGACUUGCUUUUAUGGUACCAGAAGGUGCUAUGUAAGCCUCCAAAGUAGAGAGCCUUUGCAAUCACUACAGAAAGUUUCUCUGGAUCACCUUGCUGUAGAUAACUAACCGGUCACGGAGGUCAUGGAGAGAAUGGGAACAAAGUCGACUGCCCUCAUGACAUUCAAAUCAGUGGGCAAUCAUUAAGUGUAUCUGUUUCCUGGUUUACUUAGGUUCUAAAGCAAACAUCUAAGUCUCUAUGAACAACAUUCAAGUCAAUGUCACUUUUUGCACCUCUGCACCUCUGCACUUGUCUCUCCUUGGCUUUCUGGAAGACUGUUUCACCUCAAAAAUUGUUUCACAUCAAGUGGUUUUGUUCUGCACUGGGAGGAAAGAAAACAACCGCUCUCUAUUAAUACCGACCAGAGGGAAAACCAAUACAAGAGUCUCACCUUGUCCAUGCAGGAAGAAAACCAUGUUGUGAUUUCCAAUUUGAACAGUUCAUGGCUAAACAGGCCAGAAAUGCUGUUUACUGAACAAUCUGUUGUGUCGACAACGGAUUUCCUCAGGACCAUCUUGAUGAUCAACGUAGAAUGGAAAUGUAUGAGGAAAUGCCUGAACAUGUUUCCAAAAUGUGAUAUGUCAUCAUAUCACUGUCUGGGUAAUGAAAACACUGUGUUCUAAACUACACAUUUAUGUCAACAUUUUCUAACACAAACUCUUGAGUUUCAAAUUAUCAUCGCGCAUUGGCACACUUAUAUCUUUAUGGAUGUUUCAAUCAUGGCUUUGGAGAAAGGAAUCAAAAGAAAUGGAAUCUUUAGAAGUUAUUCACGAAGAAGUACUAUGCUUGUUUAUGAACAUAGAAAUGAAGAAACUGAAGAAUACAUUAAGUCCAGGGCAUCCUUUGAAGAAGGAGCGCUAUGUAUUGGGAUUCAGAUCCUAAAUUGAAGUCUUGGGUCAAUUUGGAGUUGAUACUUGUGAACAGUGAGAAAGAGAAUGAUCCAGUUUCAGUCUUUGCAUUUGGACACCCAGUUUGAUCAUAAUGAGCUGUGACCAGCCCGAUGCCAUGGUUUUCCCAUAUGGAUGGCUGUACCUUCGGUGUGAGACAAAGUGAACCCUUCCUGCCUUAAGAUGCUUUGAUCAAAGCUUUGCAGUAGCAUAAGACAUGGAGCUAAUACAUCCAUGUAAUGAUGGGACACUCCAACUCGUAGUUUUGUUUAAGAUUGUUAACUACAUGUUCUAUAAACACAUGCACAGUGAGUUGAAGAAUAAGCCAGAGCUACAACCAGCGCUGUGUAAUUCAGUACAGAGCUGUCAUCUAUCAUGCUAUUAGCUUGAUAAGCCACUUAAGAGAAACAUGUAUUUCAUGAUUACAAUAACAGGAAGAAUCCAAACCAGACAAUUAUAUAGGGCUAAGGAGUGUAUUGGUGGUUUUAAAGCUGCAUGCAGUAGGGUAAAUUGAAAGUAAACAAUCCAUCAUCAUAAAAUGUAAGUUGGAAUGGAUCACUAAGUUCUAAAGAUGUGGUACAUUUGUGCUUGUGGCAAAGAAUAAUAUUUAUACAUCUCAAGCGUCAUUAAAUGAGUGGAUCUUUGUUAAGUAUUAUUGAUGUUAUACCCUAAAAGUAAUGAAACAAGAAGUAACAAAGGCUUGGAAAAAUACCACAUGUUCCCUUUAUGUGACCCCUAUACGGAUUCUGGCUUCUAAGGUCCAUAAGUGUAUGUUUAUGUAGGGAUCUUGAGAGGGAAUCAUAGCAGGGAAGGAAAUUGUUUUAAGAAAGUGGGGUAAAGGAGUCAAUAGACUCCAUUAGACAUGACAGUAAAGAAGGGUUCCUGAAGUGGGUGGGGGGAGUGCAAGGAGGACUGUAGGCAUGGGAAAAAGUUUUAAGGGAGAGGAGGAUCAACUAAAUUAAGCAUCAGUGUGAAACGCCAGAAGCAAACCAGGUACUUUGUAGAUAAUUAAUCUAUUACGGCUAAUUAGAGCAGCAAAUCAAACCAGCAGGCAAGCA
rnacentral:sRNA from 1 species